rfam:Triticum aestivum genome assembly, contig: Triticum_aestivum_CS42_TGACv1_scaffold_626487_7DS
GAGAUACUCCCUCCGUCCCAAAAUUCUUGUCUUAGAUCUGUCUACAUACGGAUGUAUCUAUUCACAUUUUAGUGUUAGAUACAUCCGUAUCUAGAUAAUCUAAGACAAGAAUUUUUGGACGGAGGGAGCACUAG